rnacentral:rRNA from 1 species
AGCGAACGCUGGCGGCAGGCCUAACACAUGCAAGUCGAACGAACUCUUCGGAGUUAGUGGCGGACGGGUGAGUAACACGUGGGAACGUGCCUUUAGGUUCGGAAUAACUCAGGGAAACUUGUGCUAAUACCGAAUGUGCCCUUCGGGGGAAAGAUUUAUCGCCUUUAGAGCGGCCCGCGUCUGAUUAGCUAGUUGGUGAGGUAAAGGCUCACCAAGGCGACGAUCAGUAGCUGGUCUGAGAGGAUGAUCAGCCACAUUGGGACUGAGACACGGCCCAAACUCCUACGGGAGGCAGCAGUGGGGAAUCUUGCGCAAUGGGCGAAAGCCUGACGCAGCCAUGCCGCGUGAAUGAUGAAGGUCUUAGGAUUGUAAAAUUCUUUCACCGGGGACGAUAAUGACGGUACCCGGAGAAGAAGCCCCGGCUAACUUCGUGCCAGCAGCCGCGGUAAUACGAAGGGGGCUAGCGUUGCUCGGAAUUACUGGGCGUAAAGGGAGCGUAGGCGGACAUUUAAGUCAGGGGUGAAAUCCCGGGGCUCAACCUCGGAAUUGCCUUUGAUACUGGGUGUCUUGAGUAUGAGAGAGGUGUGUGGAACUCCGAGUGUAGAGGUGAAAUUCGUAGAUAUUCGGAAGACACCAGUGGCGAAGGCGACACACUGGCUCAUUACUGACGCUGAG